UACAGAGGGUGCAAGCGUUAAUCGGAAUUACUGGGCGUAAAGCGUGCGUAGACGGUAGCGUAAGUCGGGUGUGAAAGCCCCGGGCUCAACCUGGGAAUUGCAUUCGAGACUGCUCUGCUAGGGUGCGGAAGAGGGGAGCGGAAUUUCCGGUGUAGCGGUGAAAUGCGUAGAUAUCGGAAGGAACACCAGUGGCGAAAGCGGCUCACUGGACCAUAACUGACGCUGAUGCACGAAAGCUAGGGGAGCAAACAGG
rnacentral:rRNA from 1 species